GGCUCUCCCGGGCAGGGAGGGAGGACGGAGGAAGGAGAAGCGCGCCUCGGGCGGUGCCUCCGGGCGGGGACCCGCGCCCGGCACCCCCUGCCCAUCUCCGCCCGAAACCCUCCUCAGACACAGGAAUGCGCCCGGGGAAGGCGGCGACAGGGAUGGAUACUCACGGCCAAAUACAUUUAUUUUGCUGGCAGCAUCCAUGACACUGGACAUCACAGCUCAUCCAUACCAACCAAGACACUACCUCAAAAGCUGGACUGAAGAGCCUCUCCAA